rnacentral:rRNA from 1 species
UACAGAGGGUGCGAGCGUUGUUCGGAAUUACUGGGCGUAAAGCGCGCGCAGGCGGCCUUUUAAGUCUCGUGGUGAAAUGCCGGGGCUCAACCCCGUGCCCGCCGGAGAUACUGGGAGGCUGGAGACAUGUAGAGGCAAGCGGAAUUCCGGGUGUAGCGGUGGAAUGCGUAGAGAUCCGGAAGAACACCGGAGGCGAAGGCGGCUUGCUGGGCAUUGUCUGACGCUGAGGAGCGAAAGCCAGGGGAGCAAACGGG